GAUGAACGCUGGCGGCGUGCCUAAUACAUGCAAGUCGAGCGAACGGACGAGAAGCUUGCUUCUCUGAUGUUAGCGGCGGACGGGUGAGUAACACGUGGAUAACCUACCUAUAAGACUGGGAUAACUUCGGGAAACCGGAGCUAAUACCGGAUGAUAUUUUGAACCGCAUGGUUCCAAAGUGAAAGACGGUCCUGCUGUCACUUAUAGCUGGAUCCGCGCUGCAUUAGCUAGUUGGUAAGGUCACGGCUUACCAAGGCAACGAUGCAUAGCCGACCUGAGAGGGUGAGUGGCCACACUGGAAGGGUGACAGGGCACAGUCUGCCAGGGGAGGCGGCAGGAGGGAAACGGCCGGAAGGGGCGAAAAAUUGUCGGAGCAACGCCGCGGCAGGGAUGAGGGUCGCCGGAUCGGAAAACUCUGUUAUUAGGGAGGAACAUUUGUGUAAGUAACAGUGCACAUCUGUACGGUUACUAGUCAGAAAGGCACGGGUAACUAACGG
rnacentral:rRNA from 1 species